AAAUAGGAAGCUUUAAGCAUUCAAUUUCGACCUGAAAACUAGGUUUAUGAAACCCCUCUUUU
rnacentral:tRNA from 1 species